AGAGUUUGAUCAUGGCUCAGAACGAACGCUGGCGGCAGGCCUAACACAUGCAAGUCGAGCGCCCCGCAAGGGGAGCGGCGCACGGGAUAAUAACGCGUGGGAACCUACCUUAUGGUUCGGAAUAACAUCGGGAAACUGGUGCUAAUACCGGAUAAGCCCUUCGGGGGAAAGAUUUAUUGCCAUUAGAUGGGCCCGCGUUAGAUUAGCUAGUUGGUGAGGUAACGGCUCACCAAGGCAACGAUCUAUAGCUGGUCUGAGAGGAUGAUCAGCAUCACUGGGACUGAGACACGGCCCAGACUCCUACGGGAGGCAGCAGUGGGGAAUAUUGGACAAUGGGGGAAACCCUGAUCCAGCCAUGCCGCGUGAAUGAUGAAGGCCUUCGGGUUGUAAAGUUCUUUUGACGGGGACGAUGAUGACGGUACCCGUAGAAUAAGCUCCGGCUAACUUCGUGCCAGCAGCCGCGGUAAUACGAAGGGAGCUAGCGUUGUUCGGAUUUACUGGGCGUAAAGGGCGCGUAGGCGGUUUAGUAAGUUGGAUGUGAAAGCCCUGGGCUCAACCCGGGAAUUGCAUUCAAAACUACUUGACUUGAAUUCGGUAGAGGUUGGUAGAAUUCCCAGUGUAGAGGUGAAAUUCGUAGAGAUUGGGAAGAAUACCCGUGGCGAAGGCGGCCNCUGGACCGACAUUGACGCUGAGGCGCGAAAGCGUGGGUAGCAAACAGGAUUAGAUACCCUAGUAGUCC
rnacentral:rRNA from 1 species